rnacentral:lncRNA from 1 species
AAUCAAUUUUUUGAGCAUUAAAAUAGUCAAUUUUUUAUCGACCGUCCCUAACACAAAUGAUCACUAACACAAUGAGUGAAUGACAAAGAGCUUGAUGAAUGGUACCGGAGGUCCCAAGUUCGAAUUCUAGUUAAUUCACAUUUUCAGCUAAAUUUAUUUCUAAAGAAAUAAACGAAGCAGAUAGCAUGCUACUUAUCUCUCUCUCUUAAAAAAACAAUCAAUUUUUACAAUAAUAUAUAUAUAUAUAUAUAUAUAUAUAUAUAUAGAGUUGAGCUACAAUACUUGUAAAAGUAUUAUGUGAGUGGUGCUUUUGAGUUUUUAGCCAUUGGAUGGAGAGAUGUGAGGUUGAGAUGAUGGUG